AGUGAACGCUGGCGGUAGGCCUAACACAUGCAAGUCGAACGGCAGCACAGUAAGAGCUUGCUCUUACGGGUGGCGAGUGGCGGACGGGUGAGGAAUACAUCGGAAUCUACUUUUUCGUGGGGGAUAACGUAGGGAAACUUACGCUAAUACCGCAUACGACCUACGGGUGAAAGCAGGGGAUCUUCGGACCUUGCGCGAUUGAAUGAGCCGAUGUCGGAUUAGCUAGUUGGCGGGGUAAAGGCCCACCAAGGCGACGAUCCGUAGCUGGUCUGAGAGGAUGAUCAGCCACACUGGAAGUGAGACACGGUCCAGACUCCUACGGGAGGCAGCAGUGGGGAAUAUUGGACAAUGGGCGCAAGCCUGAUCCAGACAUACCGCGUGGGUGAAGAAGGCCUUCGGGUUGUAAAGCCCUUUUGUUGGGAAAGAAAAGCAGCAGGUUAAUACCCCGCUGUUCUGACGGUACCCAAAGAAUAAGCACCGGCUAACUUCGUG
rnacentral:rRNA from 1 species